AACGAACGCUGGCGGCAGGCCUAACACAUGCAAGUCGAACGAUAAGCCACCUUCGGGUGGUGGACAGUGGCAGACGGGUGAGUAACGCGUGGGAACAUACCCCUCGGUUCGGAAUAACUCAGGGAAACUUGAGCUAAUACCGGAUACGUCCGAGGUUUUGAUCGACCUUGGAGAAAGAUUUAUCGCCGAAGGAUUGGCCCGCGUCUGAUUAGCUUGUUGGUGAGGUAAUGGCUCACCAAGGCGACGAUCAGUAGCUGGUCUGAGAGGAUGAUCAGCCACAUUGGGACUGAGACACGGCCCAAACUCCUACGGGAGGCAGCAGUGGGGAAUAUUGGACAAUGGGCGAAAGCCUGAUCCAGCCAUGCCGCGUGAGUGAUGAAGGCC
rnacentral:rRNA from 1 species